GCCGAGAUCCUACCUUGCCUCUGAGUGUCAUAGUCUGAGAAGAUGUGGGCUACAGACUCAGAUACUGUAGCUGAGGUACAGGUACAGGUACUCCAGGUCUCCCCUCUCUCCUGCUCUGGAUGUGGGCUACAGACUCAGGUGUCAUCACUGAAGCCUGUGUAGGGGCUCUGGACCCUGGACACCCUCCUUUGGCCAUCCUCUUCCUCACAGAUACAAGGAGUAAAAUGCCUCAAUCGUGUUCUUAAUUUUAAAAGGCUCUGCUGCACCUUUCAGGCAGGUUGGCUGAUCAGAGCAAGCCCAGCCAUGUCCAUGAGCCACCAGACGACCUCCACCACAAACCUCUGUGCAAAUGUGGUUUUCUAAACUGUGUCCCUCACAAAGAUCCUCAAAUCUGCCCACAUCCCAGCAAAUGUGGACAAACUGGGCAGAAACUCAACUCUAUGAUGACAGAACACAAAAUAGGGGUCGAUUUAAGUUGUGUGUCAAAGGCUGCUGGACACACUGUUCCUGAGGCAUCUAACAGAACGGGAGCUGGGGACCGCUGGUCUAGACGGAGGCGGGUCUGUGUGAUUCUGGGGCCACAGGCACCAAACAGCUCUGAGGAAGGAGUUGGGAGGCAGGCUGACCUCACAAUGAAUGCUGAGCGAGCUGCAAGCUGGGUUUGUUUUCCUUUCUCGCCUCCCUUCUUCCCUGAUUAAUAAAGUCUAUAGGAAUGGUUUCAAGUCAACAGAAAAGGAGAAAAAGCCAGCCCUUUUUGGAUCCCUAUGUCCUCCAGCCAUCCGGGCACACGGGGAAGGGAAGCUACCCAGCUGCAGAGCCGCGGAUGAGCUGAGCGGGUGCCGCACGCGCGCGCUUAGGACCUUCAGAGAGAAACGCUCUCUAGGCGCCCAGUGGACUCCAUACUUCAGGAACCCCAAUUCCCACGGGGGCCUCACCGAAGGAAUCACGAAAUGCUCAGGGAAAGCAAGGGUCCCUGAAGAGGCGA
rnacentral:lncRNA from 10 species